AUAAUACUCCAUAGAUUAGAGACACUGGAAUGUUCUUUAGUCGAAAGUUCUGGCGCCUUAGGAUGGAUCUGCGGUCGAUUAGGUUGUUGUUGGGGUAACGGCCCAAUAAGCCUGUAAUCGAUACGGGUUGUGGGAGCAAGAGCCCGGAGAUGGAAUCUGAGACACGAUUCCAGGCCCUACGGGGCGCAGCAGGCGCGAAAACUUUACAAUGCAGGAAACUGUGAUAAGGGAACUCCGAGUGCCCGUAUACGCGGGCUGUCCAGGUGUUUAAAAAUCAUCUGAAGAAAGGGCCGGGCAAGACCGGUGCCAGCCGCCGCGGUAAUACCGGCGGCUCGAGUGGUGGCCACUAUUAUUGGGCUUAAAGCGUCCGUAGCUGGACCGAUAAGUCUCUUGGGAAAUCCGCCGGCUCAACCGGCGGGCGUCUAAGGGAUACUGUUAGUCUAGGGACCGGGAGAGGUGAGAGGUACUCCGGGGGUAGGAGUGAAAUCCUGUAAUCCCCGGGGGACCACCGAUGGCGAAGGCAUCUCACCAGAACGGCUCCGACAGUGAGGGACGAAAGCUGGGGGAGCGAACCGGAUUAGAUACCCGGGUAGUCCCAGCCGUAAACUAUGCGCGUUAGGUGU
rnacentral:rRNA from 1 species